ACCGCGGUUAUACAAAUAAUACAAGUAAAAUUUAUUAGUAAUAGUUAAUUUGUUUUAAUAAAAUUUAAUUUAAAUUUUUUAAGUGAAAUUUUAAAUUUAAUUAAUUUUAUAUUUAUUUUAAAUGAAGCUAGAAAUUUUUAAUUAUAAACUAGGAUUAGAUACCCUAUUAUUUAAAGAGUAAUUGUUAAUACUUGAGUAGUAAUAGUUAUGAUCUUCAAACUUAAAGAAUUUGGCGGUGUUUUAGUCUAUUUAGAGGAAUCUGUUCUGUAAUCGAUAAUCCACGUUGGACCUUACUAAAAUUUGUAUUUAAUUUGUAUAUCGCCGUUAUCAGAAUAUCUUAAAAGAGAAAUAAUUUUCUUAAUUUAUAAAUAUAAUUGAUGUCAGGUCAAGGUGCAGUUUAUGUUUUAGUAGAAAUGGAUUACAAUAAAUUUAUUUAUACAGUAAAUUAUUUGAAAUAGUAAUUUUAAGGUGGAUUUAAAAGUAAAAUAAUAGAUAUUAUUUAUUUGAUUAUAGCUCUAAAACAUGCACAC
rnacentral:rRNA from 1 species